rnacentral:rRNA from 1 species
AGCGGCGGAUGGGUGAGUAACACGUGGGGAACCUGCCCCUAAGUCUGGGAUACCAUCUGGAAACAGGUGCUAAUACCGGAUAAUAAAGCAGAUCGCAUGAUCAGCUUUUGAAAGGCGGCGUAAGCUGUCGCUAAGGGAUGGCCCCGCGGUGCAUUAGCUAGUUGGUAAGGUAACGGCUUACCAAGGCGACGAUGCAUAGCCGAGUUGAGAGACUGAUCGGCCACAUUGGGACUGAGACACGGCCCAAACUCCUACGGGAGGCAGCAGUAGGGAAUCUUCCACAAUGGACGCAAGUCUGAUGGAGCAACGCCGCGUGAGUGAAGAAGGUUUUCGGAUCGUAAAGCUCUGUUGUUGGUGAAGAAGGAUAGAGGUAGUAACUGGCCUUUAUUUGACGGUAAUCAACCAGAAAGUCACGGCUAACUACGUGCCAGCAGCCGCGGUAAUACGUAGGUGGCAAGCGUUGUCCGGAUUUAUUGGGCGUAAAGCGAGCGCAGGCGGAAAAAUAAGUCUAAUGUGAAAGCCCUCGGCUUAACCGAGGAACUGCAUCGGAAACUGUUUUUCUUGAGUGCAGAAGAGGAGAGUGGAACUCCAUGUGUAGCGGUGGAAUGCGUAGAUAUAUGGAAGAACACCAGUGGCGAAGGCGGCUCUCUGGUCUGCAACUGACGCUGAGGCUCGAAAGCAUGGGUAGCGAACAGGAUUAGAUACCCUGGUAGUCCAUGCCGUAAACGAUGAGUGCUAAGUGU